rnacentral:rRNA from 1 species
AUUGAACGCUAGCGGCAUGCUUUACACAUGCAAGUCGAACGAGUGGCGGACGGGUGAGUAAUAUCUCGGACCGUGCCCCGUAGCGGGGGAUAACUACUCGAAAGUGGGCUUAUCCCGCAUACUCUUGGAUCGCCCGAUAUCGGAUUAGCUAGUUGGUGGGGUAAAGGCUCACCAAGGCAACGAUCCGUAGCUGGUUUGAGAGGACGACCAGCCACACUGGAACUGAGACACGGCCCAGACUCCUACGGGAGGCAGCAGGGGGGAAUUUUGGACAAUGGGGGAAAGCCGGAUGCAGCCAUCCCGCGUGUAUGAUGAAGGCCUUCGGGUUGUAAAGUACUUUUGGCAGAGAGGCGGUAUCGGCAGAAGAAGCACCGGCUAACUACGUGCCAGCAGCCGCGGUAAUUC